GAUGAACGCUGGCGGCGUGCCUAAUACAUGCAAGUCGAGCGAACAGACGAGGAGCUUGCUCCUCUGACGUUAGCGGCGGACGGGUGAGUAACACGUGGAUAACCUACCUAUAAGACUGGGAUAACUUCGGGAAACCGGAGCUAAUACCGGAUAAUAUAUUGAACCGCAUGGUUCAAUAGUGAAAGACGGUUUUGCUGUCACUUAUAGAUGGAUCCGCGCCGCAUUAGCUAGUUGGUAAGGUAACGGCUUACCAAGGCAACGAUGCGUAGCCGACCUGAGAGGGUGAUCGGCCACACUGGAACUGAGACACGGUCCAGACGCCUACGGGAGGCAGCAGUAGGGAAUCUUCCGCAAUAGGCGAAAGCCUGACGGAGCAACGCCGCGUGAGUGAUGAAGGUCUUCGGAUCGUAAAACUCUGUUAUUAGGGAAGAACAAAUGUGUAAGUAACUAUGCACGUCUUGACGGUACCUAAUCAGAAAGCCACGGCUAACUACGUG
rnacentral:rRNA from 1 species